rnacentral:rRNA from 1 species
AGCACGAUAACCUCGGGAAACCGAGGCUAAUAGUGCAUAUCACACUCACUCUGGAGUGAGGAGUGUGUCAAACGCUCCGGCGCCGAAGGAUGUGGCUGCGGCCGAUUAGGUAGACGGUGGGGUAACGGCCCACCGUGCCGAUAAUCGGUACGGGUCAUGAGAGUGAGAACCCGGAGACGGAAUCUGAGACAAGAUUCCGGGCCCUACGGGGCGCAGCAGGCGCGAAACCUUUACACUGCACGCCAGUGCGAUAAGGGAAUCCCAAGUGCACAGGCAUAGAGCCUGUGCUUUUCUGAACCGUAGGGAGGUUCAGGAACAAGGGCCGGGCAAGACCGGUGCCAGCCGCCGCGGUAAUACCGGCAGCCCAAGUGAUGGCCGAUUUUAUUGGGCCUAAAGCGUCCGUAGCUGGCCGCGCAAGUCUAUCGGGAAAUCUAUCCGCUCAACGGAUAGACGCCCGGUGGAAACUGCGUGGCUUGGGACCGGAAGGCGCGAAGGGUACGUUCCGGGGUAGGAGUGAAAUCCUGUAAUCCUGGACGGACCGCCGAUGGCGAAAGCACUUCGCGAGGACGGAUCCGACAGUGAGGGACGAAAGCUAGGGUCUCGAACCGGAUUAGAUACCCGGGUAGUCCUAGCCGUAAACGAUGCCUGUUAGGUGUGGCUCCCACUACGAGUGGGUGCUGUGCCGUAGGGAAGCCGCUAAACAGGCCGCCUGGGAAGUACGUCCGCAAGGAGUAAAUCAA